AUUGAACGCUGGCGGCAUGCCUUACACAUGCAAGUCGAACGGCAGCACGGGAGCAAUCCUGGUGGCGAGUGGAGAACGGGUGAGUAAUGUAUCGGAACGUACCAUUGAGUGGGGGAUAACGUAGCGAAAGUUACGCUAAUACCGCAUAUACCCUGAGGGGGAAAGCAGGGGAUCGCAAGACCUUGUGCUCUUUGAGCGGCCGAUAUCGGAUUAGCGAGUUGGGGGGGUAAAGGCUCACCAAGGCUACGAUCUGUAGCGGGUCUGAGAGGAUGAACCGCCACACUGGAACUGAGGCACGGUACAGACUCCUGCGGGAGGCAGCAGUGGGGAAUUUUGGACAAUGGAGGCAACCCUGAUCCAGCCCUGCCGCGUGAGUGAAGAAGGCCUUCGGGUUGUAAAGCGCUUUCGGCCGGGAGGAAAUAGCAUCAGCUAAUACCUGGUGUGGAUGACAGUACCGGAAUAAGAAGCACCGGCUAACUACGUGCCAGCCGCCGCAGUAACAC
rnacentral:rRNA from 1 species